rnacentral:rRNA from 1 species
GAACGCUGGCGGCGUGCUUAACACAUGCAAGUCGAACGGUGAAGCGCCUUCCUUUUUGGUGGGUGUGGAUGAGUGGCGAACGGGUGAGUAACACGUGAGUAACCUGCCCCCUUCUUCUGGAUAACCGCAUGAAAGUGUGGCUAAUACGGGAUAUUCUGGGUCUGUCGCAUGAUGGGUCUGGGAAAGAUAUUGUUUCGGUGGGGGAUGGGCUCGCGGCCUAUCAGCUUGUUGGUGGGGUGAUGGCCUACCAAGGCGGUGACGGGUAGCCGGCCUGAGAGGGUGGACGGUCACACUGGGACUGAGACACGGCCCAGACUCCUACGGGAGGCAGCAGUGGGGAAUAUUGCACAAUGGGCGCAAGCCUGAUGCAGCGACGCCGCGUGAGGGAUGGAGGCCUUCGGGUUGUGAACCCCUUUCGCCAGUGAAGCAGGCCUGCCUCGUUUGUGGGUGGGUUGACGGUAGCUGGAUAAGAAGCGCCGGCUAACUACGUG